GGGGAGAUGGAAGAGAAGGAGAGAGUGAGCUGUGUUAGAAUCUGAACAGAGGAGGAUGAACAACUUGCCAUACGAGGACAGACUUAAGAACCACAUUGCCGGGUGAUUUUCUCCCGACUCUCCUAGGUUACCACGUAGUUCAAUAUGAAGAAAGCGCGGGAACCAGCUGGCCGCCUGUGUACCCGCAGUGUUGUGUGAGACAUCGUGAAGGGUGGGUGUGCGCUCCGGCUCCGCGCCUGGAAUUUUCCACGGCGAGGGGAAAACCGUUAUUUCGGGAGAAUUUCUCCCGACGAUGUGGUGAACGUUAGACAUUUUACCCGGGUGAAAUUCUCCCGACGAUGUGUUUACCUGUAACUAUUAGUGAUAUCUUACGUGUGUUUCUUUUCAGAUAUUUAGUAAUUAUUACAGAUAAACAGAAAAUAUGGCUGCCCGAGGCAAAGUGCUGACUGAGGAGGAACUUGUGGAGACGAUGAACAAAUCUGGUUUCCUCUCAGUAAAUGAUAGCUCAGAUAUUACCUGUGGCAGUAGUGGGCUGCAACUGACUGAGGCGAGGGGCCAACUACCUAGUAACUAGUGUACCAAAGGAGAAGUCACCAGCUGCAGUACUUUUUUUUUGGAAAUUUUUUUCUAAACACUUUUUCAAAUUUAGUCAAAUUUAGGUUAUUCCUUAUUAAGGUCAAUAUCAAUAUUAAAAUAAAGUACAAUUUAAGUUUAUAAGUUUAUAAUCUAUAGUUUAAGAGUUCCUUUUUCACUGUAAAACUUGUAAUAAACCUUAAUUGAAAACUAC